GACGAACGCUGGCGGCGUGCUUAACACAUGCAAGUCGAACGGAAAGGCCCUGCUCUUGUGGGGUGCUCGAGUGGCGAACGGGUGAGUAACACGUGAGUAACCUGCCCUUGACUUUGGGAUAACUUCAGGAAACUGGGGCUAAUACCGGAUAGGAGCUCCUGCUGCAUGGUGGGGGUUGGAAAGCUUCGGCGGUUGGGGAUGGACUCGCGGCUUAUCAGCUUGUUGGUGGGGUAGUGGCUUACCAAGGCUUUGAAGGGUAGCCGGCCUGAGAGGGUGACCGGCCACAUUGGGACUGAGAUACGGCCCAGACUCCUACGGGGGGCAGCAGUGGGGAAUAUUGCCCAAUGGGCGGAAGCCUGAUGCAGCAACGCCGCGUGCGGAAUGACGGCCUUCGGGUUGUAAACCGCUUUCGCCUGUGACGAAGCGUGAGUGACGGUAAUGGGUAAAGAAGCACCGGCUAACUACGUG
rnacentral:rRNA from 1 species